rnacentral:lncRNA from 1 species
GACAGUAGCAGCAGCAGGGUGCUGCCGGGCGGGCGGUGUCUCCCAGGCGGCCUUGCCCGGAUGUGCUACCCUGACUCAUAGUCGCGCCGCACGCAGGCUCCGCGCUGCUGCCGUGCUCUCCCGUCCCGCUUCGCGCACACGCCUCCCGCGCCUCCCUCCGCGCCAGCGGGGAGGCGGUGGCUGCAGCAGCGGCAGGAGGGGAAGGAGGAGGAGGCCGCGGCGGCACCAUGGAUAAUCUAAGUGAUGCCCUGAAAAAGCUGAAGAUAACAACCACUGACAGCACAGCAGAUAGCUUGGAGGGAUGCUUGGACUGUCUGCUUCAAGCUCUGGCACAAAACAAUAUGGAGACAAGUGAAAAAAUCCAGAAAAGUGGAGUUCUUCAGGUGUUCGGGAGUCUGUUGACGCCACAAUCUUCCUGCACAGCAAAAGUAGCUAACAUCAUAGCAGAAGUAGCCAGAAAUGAAUUUAUGCGAAACCCAUGUGUGGAUGCCGGGUUGAUCCCUCCUUUGGUGCAGCUGUUAAACUGCAAAGACCAGGAAGUAUUGCUUCAAACAGGACGUGCCCUGGGCAAUAUAUGCUACGAUAGCCAUACCCUGCAGUCACAGCUUAUCAAUAUGGGUGUUAUUCCUACAUUAGUGAAAUUGUUGGGUAUUCAUUGCCAAAAUGCAGCUCUGACAGAGAUGUGCCUUGUUGCAUUUGGCAAUUUAGCAGAACUUGAGUCAAGUAAAGAGCAGUUUGCCUACACAAACAUUGCUGAAGAGCUUGUUAAACUGUUCAAGAAGCAAAUAGAGCAUGAUAAAAGAGAGAUGAUUUUUGAAGUUUUGGCUCCCCUGGCAGAAAAUGAUGUCAUUAAACUGCAGCUGGUUGAAGCUGGCUUGGUGGAGUGCCUACUUGAGAUUGUCCAGAAGACUGUGGACAGUGACAAAGAAGAUGAUGUUGCAGAGCUUAAAACAGCUUCUGAUCUUAUGGUUUUAUUAUUGCUUGGAGAUGAAUCCAUGCAAAAGUUAUUUGAAGGAGGAAAAGGCAGCGUAUUCCAAAGAGUACUUUCGUGGAUUCCUUCCAACAGCCAUCAGCUACAGCUUGCAGGAGCAUUGGCUAUUGCAAAUUUUGCCAGAAAUGAUGGAAACUGCAUCCAUAUGGUGGAUAAUGGCAUAGUUCAAAAGCUGAUGGAUCUGCUAGACAGACAUGUGGAGGACGGAAAUGUAACUGUGCAGCAUGCUGCACUGAGUGCUCUCAGAAACCUGGCUAUUCCUGUUGUAAAUAAGGCUAAGAUGCUAUCAGCUGGUGUUGCAGAAGCUGUAUUGAAAUUUCUCAGAUCGGAGAUGCCCCCUGUUCAGUUCAAGCUGCUGGGAACAUUAAGAAUGUUAAUAGAUGCACAAGCAGAAGCCGCUGAACAGCUGGGCAAAAAUAUCAAACUGGUGGAACGGUUGGUGGAAUGGUGUGAAGCCAAGGAUCACGCAGGUGUGAUGGGGGAAUCCAACAGACUACUUUCCGCACUUAUACGACACAGCAAAUCUAAAGAUGUAAUUAGGACCAUUGUACAGAGUGGAGGCAUAAAGCAUCUAGUAACCAUGGCAACCAGUGAACAUGUAAUAAUGCAAAACGAAGCUCUUGUUGCACUGGCAUUAAUAGCGGCUUUAGAGUUAGUCACUGCUGAAAAGGAUCUCGAAAACGCUCAGCUUGUUCAGAUUCUACACAGACUGCUCUCAGACGACAGGAGUGCUCCAGAAAUAAAAUACAACUCCAUGGUGUUGAUCUGUGCCCUUAUAGGAUCUGGUGAGUAUUCGCUGAGGUUUCCAAUGGUGGCGGUGUUUCUUUCAUCCAGUUCUUUGAGAAGUAUUUACUCUGUGAAAGGAGAACAAAUUUAA